rnacentral:rRNA from 1 species
UACGUAGGUGGCAAGCGUUAUCCGGAAUUAUUGGGCGUAAAGCGCGCGCAGGUGGUUUCUUAAGUCUGAUGUGAAAGCCCACGGCUCAACCGUGGAGGGUCAUUGGAAACUGGGAGACUUGAGUGCAGAAGAGGAAAGUGGAAUUCCAUGUGUAGCGGUGAAAUGCGUAGAGAUAUGGAGGAACACCAGUGGCGAAGGCGACUUUCUGGCUGUAACUGACACUGAGGCGCGAAAGCGUGGGGAGCAAACAGG